CUCACCAUAGCUCAGUUGGUAGAGCAACGGACUGUAAUGCAUAGUCAUCCGUGUGUCCCGUGUUCGAAUCACGGUGGUGAGA